CCCGACACGCUGGCGGCUCUGCAGGGAGCGAUGGCUUCUGCACGGUGCCCUCUCUUCUCCACCCGAGGCUCUGGCCUGGCCGGCGGCGCCGAACAGAAUGUCCCCGCGGUCCCUGAAGCUGAACUACAAAAAUCAAGACCAUGACUGGAUAAACUUGUCAAGAAGAGGAAAAAGAAGAAGAAAAGAUGGGUUACCUGUUUCACAUACACUGCUUCAUCUGCUUCUCAAAGCUCUGGUUUAGUGGGUAGCCAUUCCAGCUUUGAUCUGGAAGUUCCAACUCCCAUUGAGGCUUCGGUAACUAUCACGCCUACAAGGUGGGGCCAAGAGAGGGCCCUGAAGACCCGAGAUCCAGAUGCCCCACUCUCUCUGUUCCUGGACCCUGGACGGUGGAGGUUGACGGAGCAGAGUUCUCCAGAGAACACCGCCAGACUGUGACACACCUUCCCCAGACCCUGCGACCUACCUAUCCCUUCAUUUGUAAGUUAUGCCACUAAUAAACCUCCCUUUUAACUA